GAAGAUCAAAAUGCUUGUAUGGAGGAUUUCAUGGAACUAUAUCCCCUCAUUCCUCAACCUCAAAAUAAAGCGGGUUCUGGUGAAUACUAAAUGUCCCAGAUGCGAGUGUGAAGAAGAAAGCAGUCGCCAUAUUUUCCAACAGUGCCCUGCAACGAUUGAGGUUUGGAAUCAUCUUAAUCUAGCGUGGAUACAGAAUCACAAUAAUGGGGAUAUGUGGAGAUGGCUUACCGGAAUCUUUGGCCAAGGAAACGAAAAGCAGUUGCAACUCUUCUGCUGUGGUCUAUGGUACAUCUGGUUCAGUAGAAAUCAACUCAUUUAUGAAAAAAGGCAAAUGUCAGGAUCAGAGAUAGCAAAGAGAAUUAGAAACUACCUAACAGAACUCGAAGCAGCAAAAAAAGAAAAACCUACCUUUCACACUUUUGACAGUUAUCAGCAGAUCUUCAAAAGGGGAAAAGCAACAGUUCAGUUUGACGCAGCGUUUGAUAGCCAGACGUCCACAUCGGCAUCGGGGCUAUUAGCCUGGAACGAGGAAGGGAAGAUCCUUGCGUCACAAGCAGUUCUUCACUCCAACAUCGAAGAUCCAUUCACAGCAGAGGCUCAUGCAGGAUUACAAGCAAUCAAUCUAGGUAUUAGUUUGGGAAUCAACAAAAUGGAGAUAAUGGGCGAUUCAAAAACAAUUAUCAAAAAGUGUCAAUGUUUCAAUACAGAUAGAUCGAUCAUUGGAGCAAUAAUCAGAGAUAUACGGAAUCGGAAAGACAGAUACCAGGAGAUUACGUUUUCUUUUAUCCCAAAAGCAAAAAACAUCUAUGCUCACACCAUUGCUACAGAGGCUCUUAAAAGAAGUGAAAGUUUUUACCUGGAGGAAGGAAUACCGGAGAUGAUCCGUCGAGAGCUGGAGAGGCGCGGUCUGAAACCUCCUGACUGAAGAGAUGAAAGAUU
rnacentral:lncRNA from 1 species